GACGAACGCUGGCGGCGUGCUUAACACAUGCAAGUCGAACGGAAAGGCCCUGCUUUUGUGGGGUGCUCGAGUGGCGAACGGGUGAGUAACACGUGAGUAACCUGCCCUUGACUUUGGGAUAACUUCAGGAAACUGGGGCUAAUACCGUAUCGGAUCUCCUGCUGCAUGGUGGGGGUUGGAAAGUUUCGGCGGUUGGGGAUGGACUCGCGGCUUAUCAGCUUGUUGGUGGGGUAGUGGCUUACCAAGGCUUUGACGGGUAGCCGGCCUGAGAGGGUGACCGGCCACAUGGGGACUGAGAUACGGACCAGACUCCUACGGGAGGCAGCAGUGGGGAGUAUUGCACAAUGGGCGGAAGCCUGAUGCAGCAACGCCGCGUGCGGGAUGACGGCCUUCGGGGUGUAAACCGCUUUCGCCUGUGACGAAGCGUGAGUGACGGUAAUGGGUAAAGAAGCACCGGCUAACUACGUG
rnacentral:rRNA from 1 species